GCUGGCGGCGUGGAUAAGACAUGCAAGUCGAACGGGAUUUGUUUUGUAGCAAUACGAAGCAAGUCUAGUGGCGUAAGGGUGCGUAACACGUGGGGAAUCUGCCGAGAAGUGGGGGAUAGCUCGCCGAAAGGCGAAUUAAUACCGCAUGUGACCAGAGUUGACGUCAACUCGACGUCAAAGCCGGGGCAACCUGGCGCUUCUUGAUGACCCCGCGGCCUAUCAGCUAGUUGGUGAGGUAACGGCUCACCAAGGCUAUGACGGGUAGCUGGUCUGAGAGGACGACCAGUCACACUGGAACUGAGACACGGUCCAGACACCUACGGGUGGCAGCAGUCGAGAAUUUUUCUCAAUGGGGGAAACCCUGAAGGAGCGACGCCGCGUGGAGGAUGAAGGUCUUCGGAUUGUAAACUCCUGUCAUUAGAGAACAAUGUGCAUUUAUUAACUGUAAAUGCAUUGAUAGUAUCUGAAGAGGAAGAGACGGCUAACUCUGUGCCAGCAGCCGCGGUAAUACAGAGGUCUCAAGCGUUGUUCGGAUUCAUUGGGCGUAAAGGGUGCGUAGGUGGUGCUGUAAGUCAGGUGUGAAAUCUCGGGGCUCAACCCCGAAACUGCACUUGAUACUGCAGUGCUCGAGGACUGGAGAGGAGAUUGGAAUUCAUGGUGUAGCAGUGAAAUGCGUAGAUAUCAUGAGGAAGACCAGUGGCGA
rnacentral:rRNA from 1 species